rnacentral:rRNA from 1 species
GAUGAACGCUGGCGGCGUGCCUAAUACAUGCAAGUCGAGCGAACGGACGAGAAGCUUGCUUCUCUGAUGUUAGCGGCGGACGGGUGAGUAACACGUGGAUAACCUACCUAUAAGUCUGGGAUAACUUCGGGAAACCGGAGCUAAUACCGGAUAAUAUUUUGAACCGCAUGGUUCAAAAGUGAAAGACGGUCUUGCUGUCACUUAUAGAUGGAUCCGCGCUGCAUUAGCUAGUUGGUAAGGUAACGGCUUACCAAGGCAACGAUGCAUAGCCGACCUGAGAGGGUGAUCGGCCACGCUGGAACUGAGACACGGUCCAGACUCCUACGGGAGGCAGCAGUAGGGAAUCUUCCGCAAUGGGCGAAAGCCUGACGGAGCAACGCCGCGUGAGUGAUGAAGGUCUUCGGAUCGUAAAACUCUGUUAUUAGGGAAGAACAUAUGUGUAAGUAACUGUGCACAUCUUGACGGUACCUAAUCAGAAAGCCACGGCUAACUACGUG